UAAAGUCUUAGCUACAAGUGGACCUAUAAAUUGGCUUAAGUCGUGUACCGGAAAUUAUCAAUGCAGCGGAUGGAUUGCUUUUAAGUCGAGCCGACCUGGGUACACAAAUACCUAUUGAAAAACUUUUCAUAACACAAAAAUCGGUAUUAGGUCAAUGUAACAAGGUUGGAAAACCAGUAAUUAUUGCAUCGAAUUUAUUGGAAUCUAUGCGUUUGAAUCCAUUUCCUACACGCGCAGAGUGUUUUGAUCUAGGUAACGCAGUCAUUGAUGGCGUCGAUUGUAUUAUGCUGUCUUCCGAGGUUGCAAUUGGAUUAUAUCCUAUGGAAACUAUAGAUAUCUGUGAUGCGCUUUGUCGCGAAGCUGAAAAAGUUAUAUGGUACCGGAAUCUAUUUGAUGAUUUGGUUCAUGAAACACAUGGAGAACUGGAUGCAUCUCAUUCGAUUGCCAUAACUGCUGUUGAAACAGCUAGACGUACUAAAGCAACGCUUAUAAUAGUGCUUACCACAUCGGGCCGUUCUGCAGCUUUACUUAGCAAAUUCAGGCCACGUUGCCCAGUUCUGGCAGUCACUCGGUGUGAGAAGGCAGCUCGUUGGGUAAAUUUACAUCGUGGGGUAAUGCCAUUACUUUAUCCUGCGGAUUGCAGCGAAAACUAUGCAAGUGAUGUUGAUGCACGUGUAAGAUUUGCACUAACAAGUGCUAGGAAAACUGAUUUAAUUAACGAUGGUGAUCCCAUUGUGAUUGUUAGCGCCUGGAAAGAUGGCGGAGGUUUUACUAACAAUGUCCGCGUAGUUUAUUCUUUCUUUGAGGCUGACCAAAUGGACUGUCUCUUUCGUGCUGACAAAAGUCGCUCACGAAAAAAUACAGCAUUGCAGACAAAACCAGCAAUUGGAGAGCCCACUAGCAAGGCGUAGGCUCCACAAAAGAUUUGAUUUCGAAACUUCAAUGAGGAUGUAUUUUACGAAAACUGCGCAAACAUCAAACAUAGAAUUUUCUGUGGCGAUUAUUAAUUGUAAUUUUUAAAAAUUCAUUUCUAAUUGGCACGCUAUUAAAAAAUACAACAAUAUGGAAAAUUAAAAUUAUAUUGAAGUAUUAUUAUUAAAGUAAGGAAAUCUGCAUGAUAAUCCCAUGGAUCUAUUGUGCCACCUUCUGAGCCUAUAGCUCAUCCAUCAACCCUAAUUCUCGCACGAAGUCGACCAUUUUUGUCGGGUUGAGGUCAACAAUUGUACGCUAACGGUUGGACAUAUUUUCCUGGAAAGCUACAUCUAUAUAGAGCAGUGCAUUCUGCUAGAAUAUACAUUGAAGACUCACCUCGUAAUUGCAGAAACGGCAGGCUAUACUGUUUACAAUUCCUAAUUUAGAUAGGUGACUUUUCAGUCUACAGUGGCCUCUUAGUACAACGUAAAACAAUAAAUACGUGUUGUUGGCAGCGUUGCUAGAUGUCAAAGAGAAAGAAUAAGUGUAGAGAAGUGGUGAAGAAGGAAAAGGAGUGACCAAGUUAAUUUAUAAUAAAAAUGUUGGACAGAGUUGCCAGACUGUUAAUACUGAGAUCGCCACAGUACUCCCUCCUAGAGUUCGGUGGAUUGUUGACCCGAGGAAGUCUGCGAGGUUGUUUUAUCUGUGUCGAUCACUUGAUUUGUUGCUUCUGAAAUGGGAUAGGCGGAUGGUGUAGCAAGGACUGAAAAUAAUGAUUAUUGUUCAAAAUAGCUACAUAAAAAA